UACGUAGGUGGCAAGCGUUGUCCGGAAUUAUUGGGCGUAAAGCGCGCGCAGGCGGUACUUUAAGUCUGAUGUGAAAGCCCACGGCUCAACCGUGGAGGGUCAUUGGAAACUGGGGGACUUGAGUACAGAAGAGAAGAGUGGAAUUCCACGUGUAGCGGUGAAAUGCGUAGAGAUGUGGAGGAACACCAGUGGCGAAGGCGACUCUUUGGUCUGUAACUGACGCUGAGGCGCGAAAGCGUGGGGAGCAAACAGG
rnacentral:rRNA from 1 species